rnacentral:rRNA from 1 species
UACGGAGGGGGCGAGCGUUAUUCGGAAUUAUUGGGCGUAAAGGGCGCGUAGGCGGCUCGAUAAGUCAAAGGUGAAAUCCCUCGGCUCAACUGAGGAACUGCCUUUGAAACUGUCGAGCUCGAGUCCGGGAGGGGGUAGCGGAAUUCCCAGUGUAGCGGUGAAAUGCGUAGAUAUUGGGAGGAACACCAGUGGCGAAGGCGGCUACCUGGACCGGAACUGACGCUGAUGCGCGAAAGCGUGGGUAGCAAACAGGAUUAGAAACCCCCGUAGUCC